CGGGGGCAAGCUGCUCCCUUUACGCCUUCACCGUCGCUCUGCUUCGGAUCCGUUCGUCGCUCUCUCUCGCGCAUCGAGUCCUUGGUUCCUCGCUACCUCUGGUCGUACCAACGUAGAUUUGCUGUUGGAUUGAUGAUCGAGACGAUCGGAAUGACGGAGAGAAAAAGAGUCGGUGAAUGCUUUCGCUUCAGGGCUGAAAUCGAGGGUCCAGAUCUCAGAAGAUCGCUGGUUUUUUUUGGAUUCGAUUAGGUUUUUAGAAGGUCGUGGUUAGGAGAUUAUCCAGAUCACUCUGGAACAGGAGAGUAGGAUCUAUCACUUCUAUCCUUUUCAUUUAGUGUGGUGCGUGAUUAUACCGUUGGGAAGUGUCUCCUUGUGCGUUUGGGUUGUGCUUGGGUGGAUUUGUCUCGUAUUUGAACGGAACUUUCUCUUUGCUGGUGCUUGCUGUACGUUUUAGUGUCUACUUCGUCCUCUAGCUUUUUUAACACGGGUUUUAUUCUUCAUA